GCGAUCCCGUCGGAGAGGGUGCGCAAGUCCAUGCCGAUCGCCUGGCGUGCGGCGCGGAUGUUGUUCGCGACGUGCGUGUUCGUGAUUCCUGCGGGAUUGCCCC
rnacentral:tRNA from 1 species